UGUUAAAAAUUCCAUCAAUUUAUACAGUUAAAAAAUAUGACGUGCCAUGUGUACCUCAUUCUGUUCUACAGGGACCAAUUUUUUAAUAGUAGAAAUAGAUGGGAUUUUUAACA
rfam:Gossypium hirsutum cultivar TM-1 chromosome 20, whole genome shotgun sequence